GGGGUUAGUUUAGGUAUUUUUAGAAUUCUGCUUUUGUAAAGCAGAGGUGGUUUUUGGCUGCUCUCUAUGUUUUAUUGGCUGUGAGGUUGAUUUUAUUUGGGUUUCGUUUUUUAGAUUACCUUUUGCAUCAUGAUUUGUUGAUUUUUGGUUUGGAUUGAUUGUUUCCGAAGAGUACUGAUUUUUGUUUUGCUUGCUUAGGGUUGUUUUGGAGGUGAGUAACUUUUUGUAGAGCUUAAUUGAGGUUGUGAUAGGUGAUUCGGAGUACUUGAUAUCUGAUUUUGAGUAGAUUUUGUUGGUAUAUUGCGGCUUAGUUAUGAUAUUAGGUCGUUGGUAAGAUCAGGAUUUUGUGCUUUUUGUAAUAGGGAUUAGAAUUCUCCUGAUUUUAGGUGUGUGUUAUUAUUCGUUUGUGGCUCUGUCUAGGAUUUAUAUGAAUCUACUCUUAGCUAAUUGGGUUUGAUAAUGAUAGAAUAAGUAGGUGUUUUGAUUAGCUUUAUUUUUUCUUGGUCUUCCUCGGUCUGUUUAUUAAAAACAUUUCUAUUCGGAUUUAUGAAUAGUAGUGCCUGCCCAGUGCUUUGUAAAUGGCCGCAGUAUUUUGACUGUGCUAAGGUAGCAUAAUUAGUUGCCUCAUAAUUGGAGGAUUGUUUGAAAGGUUUGACUUGAGGAUUUGACUAGAUUAGGGCUUGGGCUGAAAUUGGAGUUGAGGUGCAGAUCCCUCGGAUUUUUAAUAAGACGGAAAGACCCCGAGAUCUUUAUAUUGUGUUAUUUGUUUGGGGUAAAAUGCUAUGUUUUAUGUUAUUUUUGAUCCUAAUGGAUAAAAGGUUUAAGUUACCUCGGGGAUAACUAGGUAAAAAAUAAGGAGAGGUCGGAUCGAUUUAUUUUAUUGCUAUCUCGAUGUUGACUUGGGGAAAAGUAGAGGGGUGUAGGAGUUUCUUUACUGGGUCUGUUCGACCGUAGUU
rnacentral:rRNA from 1 species